rnacentral:rRNA from 1 species
CCACCACUCAAGUGGAGCGAUGAAGGGACGCGGCGUGGUAGGUCAGCCUCUUAACGGAUUGAGGUGCCAAACGCGUAGGACGUUGAAGGGUGUAGGUAAGUCCGCACCCCGAGUCCGAAACGUGAUGGCGGUGCCUUAGAGCCACAAGUGAUUGAGCCAUGCCGCCUAGAAAAGCUUCUAAGCGUUGAUAUUUGAGUGACCGUACCGCAAACCGACACUGGUAGGUGGGUAGAAUAUACCAAGGGGAGCGAGAGAACCCUCGUUAAGGAAUUAGGCAAAUUUCCCCCGUACGUUCGCAAUAAGGGGGGCCUCUGGUGGUGAGCUUAAUCGCAAAGCUGCUGGAGGCCGCAGAGAAAUGGCUCUUCCAACUGUUUAACAAAAACACAGGUCUCUGCUAAGUCGAAAGACGAAGUAUAGGGGCUGACGCCUGCCCAGUGCUGGAAGGUUAAGGGGAGAGGUUAGGCGCAAGCCGAAGCUUUGAGCCGAAGCCCCAGUGAACGGCGGCCGUAACGAUAACGGUCCUAAGGUAGCGAAAUUCCUUGUCGGGUAAGUUCCGACCCGCACGAAUGGCGUAAUGAGAGGAGCACUGUCUCAACGAGGGACUCGGCGAACAUUGAAGGACGUGUGAAGAUACACGUGACCCGCAGCGGGACAAAAAGACCCCGUGAAGCUUUACUACAACUUGCCAUUGAGUUAGGGCUAAACCUGUGUAGUAUAGGUGGGAGGCUUUGAAGCUGGGACGCCAGUCUCGGUGGAGCCACCGUUGAAAUACCACCCUGGUUUAUUCUUGGCUCUAACCUGUCGCCGUUAUCCGGCAUGGGAACAGUGGCUGGUGGGUAGUUUGACUGGGGCGGUCGCCUCCGAAAGCGUAACAGAGGCGCCCAAAGGUUCCCUCAGGCUGAAUGGAAACCAGCCGUUGAGUGUAAAGGCACAAGGGAGCUUGACUGCAAGACCAACAAGUCGCGCAGGGACGAAAGUCGGGCUUAGUGAUCCCACGGUUCAGAGUGGAAUGGCCGUGGCUUACCGGAUAAAAGCUACUCCGGGGAUAACAGGGUAGUCUGGUCCAAGAGUUCAUAUCGACGACCAGGUUCGCCACCUCGAUGUCGGCUCAUCACAUCCUGGGGCUGGAUAAGGUCCCAAGGGUUGGGCCGUUCGCCCAUUAAAGUGGUACGUGAGCUGGGUUCAGACCGUCGUGAGACAGGUCGGUCUCUAUCCGCUGUGGGCGUAAGGGAUUUGAGAGAAGCUGCCCCUAGUACGAGAGGACCGGGGUGGACGGACCUCUAGUGUGCCAGUUGUUCUGCCAAGAGCAUUGCUGGGUAGCUACGUCCGGCAGAGAUAACCGCUGAAAGCAUCUAAGUGGGAAACUCGUCUCAAGAUUAGAUCCCUCAUCCGUAUGGAGUAAGACCGCUAGAAGACUACUAGUUUGAUAGGCGGCAGGUGUAAGCGCAGUAAUGUGUUCAGCUUAGCCGUACUAAUGGUCGAGGGCUUACGUUU